GAUCAUGGCUCAGGAUAAACGCUAGCGACAGGCUUAACACAUGCAAGUCGAGGGGCAGCACAGGUAGCAAUACCGGGUGGCGACCGGCGCACGGGUGAGUAACGCGUAUGCAACUUACCUAUCAGAGGGGGAUAACCCGGCGAAAGUCGGACUAAUACCGCAUGAAGCAGGGGCCCCGCAUGGGGAGUAUUUGCUAAAGAUUUAUCGCUGAUAGAUAGGCAUGCGUUCCAUUAGGCAG
rnacentral:rRNA from 1 species